GGGGGUAAAUUAAUUAAUUUAUAAUUAAUAAAAGAAUUUUUAUAAUUAAAAUAUUUAAUGGGGGUUAAAGUAUUUUAAUAAAAAAAAUUGAAAAAUUUAUAGUAAAUUAGUAUUGUGAAAGAAUUUUGAAAUAAUUUGAAAUAUAAAAUUAUUUUAAAAGUAAUUUUUAUUUAAUGUAUCUUGUGUAUCAGAGUUUAUUAAAAAUUAUUUUUAAGAAAAAAUUUCUCGAAUUUAAAAGAGAUAAUUAAUUUAAUAAAGUUAUUGUAGCAUAAAUAUUUUAAAUAAUUAAUUAGAAAUGAUAUGUUAAUCGUUUUUAAAUAUAUCUAGUUUUUUUAGAAAAAAAUUUAAUUUUAAAAUUUUAUAAAAAAAAAUUCAUUAAUAAAUUUUUUUUUAUAAAAUUUUUAUAUUUUAAGGGAUAAGCUUUAAAUUAAAAUUAUAUAAUAAUUUUUAAUUUAAAUUGAAAAUUUUAUAAUUUAUAUUGUUAAUAAAUUUUAUUUUAUUAUAAAUAAUUUCAAUAAUAUGUAUAAAAUUUUUAAGAUAAUUUAUAUUUUUAUAAAAAAAUAAUUUUUAAUAAAUAAAAAUUAGUUAUAAUGAUAAAAUUAGUAUAUUAAUUAAAUUAAAAUUUUUAUUUUAAUUUAAAAUUAAAUAAAAGGAAUUCGGCAAAUAUUUAUAUUCACUUGUUUAUCAAAAACAUGUCUUUUUGUUAAUAAUUUAAAGUCUAAUCUGCCCACUGAUUUAUUAUUAAAGGGCUGCAGUAUUUUGACUGUACAAAGGUAGCAUAAUCAAUAGUCAUUUAAUUGAUGACUUGCAUGAAAGAUUGGAUGAAAUAUAGACUGUCUCUUAUUUAAAAUUUAGAAUUUAAUUUUUUAAUUAAAAAGUUAAAAUAAAAUAAAAAGACGAGAAGACCCUAUAGAGUUUUAUAUUUAUUUUUAAUUAAUAUUAUUUAUAAAAUUAAAAUUGAAAUUAAAAAAAAUAUUUUAUUGGGGUGAUAAAAAAAUAAAAAUAACUUUUUUUAUUUAAUAACAUAAAUAAAUGAUUUAAUGAUCCAAUAUUAUUGAUUAAAAGAAAAAAUUACCUUAGGGAUAACAGCGUAAUUUUUUUUUUUAGUUCAAAUAAAAAAAAAAGUUUGCGACCUCGAUGUUGGAUUAAGAUAAAAUUUAAAUGCAAAAGUUUAAAAUUUUGAUCUGUUCGAUCAUUAAAAUCUUACAUGAUCUGAGUUCAAACCGGUGUGAGCCAGGUUGGUUUCUAUCUUUUAUAUUAUGUUUUAUAUUUUAGUACGAAAGGAAUAAAUAUUAAAAUUAUAUUUAUUAAAUUGAAUAUUAUUAAUUAAAAAUUAUUUAAAUAAAAUUAAAAUUAAGAAUUUUUUAA
rnacentral:rRNA from 1 species